AGAGUUUGAUCAGUGGCUCAGGACGAACGCUGGCGGCGUGCUUAACACAUGCAAGUCGAACGGUAAGGCCCUUCGGGGUACACGAGUGGCGAACGGGUGAGUAACACGUGGGUGAUCUGCCCUGCACUUCGGGAUAAGCCUGGGAAACUGGGUCUAAUACCGGAUAGGACUCCUGGCUUCAUGGUUGGGGGUGUAAAGCCUUUGCGGUGUGGGAUGGGCCCGCGGCCUAUCAGCUUGUUGGUGGGGUAAUGGCCUACCAAGGCGACGACGGGUAGCCGGCCUGAGAGGGUGACCGGCCACACUGGGACUGAGAUACGGCCCAGACUCCUACGGGAGGCAGCAGUGGGGAAUAUUGCACAAUGGGCGCAAGCCUGAUGCAGCGACGCCGCGUGAGGGAUGACGGCCUUCGGGUUGUAAACCUCUUUCAAUAGGGACGAAGCGCAAGUGACGGUACCUAUAGAAGAAGGACCGGCCAACUACGUG
rnacentral:rRNA from 1 species